rnacentral:rRNA from 1 species
UACGGAGGGGACUAGCGUUGUUCGGAAUUACUGGGCGUAAAGCGCACGUAGGCGGAUUUGUAAGUCAGGGGUGAAAUCCCGGGGCUCAACCUCGGAACUGCCUUUGAUACUGCAAAUCUCGAGUCCGGAAGAGGUGAGUGGAAUUCCUAGUGUAGAGGUGAAAUUCGUAGAUAUUAGGAAAAACACCAGUGGCGAAGGCGGCUCACUGGUCCGGUACUGACGCUGAGGUGCGAAAGCGUGGGGAGCAAACAGG